rnacentral:misc_RNA from 1 species
ACACCUCAACUCUCAUGGCUUGCCAUGAUGAGCUUGGACUUUGGGGGUCUUGCUGGCCGGUGGUCGGCUCCUCUUAAAUGGAUCAGCUUGCCAGUGUUUGGCGGCACCACAGGUGUGAUAACUAUCUACGCUUGUGGUUUCCUGCCAGGUAUCCUUCAGUGAUGGAGGUUCGCUGGAGCUCAUAAAUGUCUCUCCGCAGCGAGGACAACCCCUUGAAU